CCAUGGAUUACUCAAAAAUCUGCUGUGACUUUAAUCUCUGAGCCAAGAAUUUGCCUCAGACAACAUUUGUCACAUGAUAUCAGUUGUCAUAGCAACAAUCAUAACAGAAUUUUAAAAACACAUCAAGCAUAGACUUGCACUGCUCCUGUGAUUCUGUCAGGUAGGUGGUAUGUGUCAAAGUAACAUCCACAUGAAUGUCAGGACCCAAGGGUCCCCAGCAGAACAUUAUCCAGAGAAUCACACUGCCUCCACCAGCGUGUCUUCUUCCCAUAGUGCAUCCUGGUGCCACCUCUUGACCAGAGUCCCCAAUCUCCAACAUCUCAGAAAAGAGCACAGACCAGAACUACAUCAGUUGAGAUUUGUAAUGUACAUGAAUGCCUUAACCAAGUCAUAUCCACCUUGAAUCCACCUUAUAUCCAUCCAUUUUGAAAUACGGAAGAGACUUGUGGGGGGAAGACAUGGAUAGCAAACUCAUUUCUAAAGUCACUCAGAUUUCUUCAAAUUUCAUCAAAUUUCAAAUCAGAUCAAAUUUCUUAAUAGAAAUUGUUACUUAACUACAACUUUACUGUCCUUUAAGUUCUUUAACUGUUGAUUCCUAAAUACAUGUCCAAGUAUUUAAAAAUUUUAACUUAAGUAAAAAUACCAAAAAAAAAAAGGUUUUUUUUUGUUUUUGUUUUUUUUUUUGCAUUUUGUUAGCUGUUAAUUUGGAACUAUGAGCAUAGCUAUUUAACUAUGCAAGCUACUGUUAUGAACAGACAUAGCUAAUGUUAGCUCAUUAACUAGCCAGUUUCCUGGUUGUAUCAAAGAACAAACAACUCAUGAAAUCUUAAAUAUUAAUACUUGUCUACAACAGCUGCUGUUUAGGGACACUGGACACCACUGGGCUAUAAAACAACUAGCUAAUCUCAGUAACAAUUUACUUUGUUCACACACUGUUUAACUUACCUUUAUGUGUUAAUCCUCCUGACUAGCCACCACCUCUGAGUUUUCACUGGAGCAUUAUAGCACAAAAAACUUAUCUAGAUACAGGAGGCAGGUGGAGGUGAUAUGGUGUCUCACAUCCACCUUCAGCUCUGGUGCAUGGUUUAUGGUCAAAACACCUACUCUAAUUUUUUGUUUGUGCCAGUUAUUAUGGCAAACUGUAACUGCACAAACAAUAUUAGUUUUCUGUGAAUCCACAAUUAUUAAUGUCAAAUAUAACAUGUUAAAUGGCAGUGUUGAUAGAUGCUGUGAUGAGUGUCAGCAUGCCAGCAACUUUCCAACAAAAAGAGUGAAUCAGAAUGCUGAAAAUAAGGUACAUAUGAUGCCAUAUAUCAGAUAGCUUCUGUUCUAGUCACUCCAUAACAAGGACGUGUUGGAAAGAACAAAUGGCACAAUCAUUUGAAAGAGUGAACACAGACUUCCCACAGAAACCUACUCUAGCCACCUGAGAGCAUUUACCAGCUGUCUGUAAUUACUCAUCACAUGGCUGUUAUAUUGACAUGCAUUAAGCACUGGUGUGAUUAAAUAUUCAACACUGAGACACGUGAGAUAAGAGAUUCAUGAAGAGGUCCUGCCGACCUCUUACAUUCACUGGCUGUCUUCAUUGUUCUGCUAUACUGAGUGAGGACCUAAGAGUGUGCAGCUGAGCUGGUUUUGUGUCUUCUCUAGCUAUAGAGAGACCCCAUGUGGUGAACAUGAUCUGCACUUCUAUGUGACUCUCAUUACCACUGCUUUUUGACUUGGCUGGUGAUGGCAGAUUGACUUGACAUAAAGUGAGGCUGUGAUGACUGAAGAAGGUUCUGUCAACUGAAUUGCUGUGAUUGCAUUGCUGGAAAUCUGUCUCUUUGGCAAUUGCAUUUGAUUGACUGGCAGACAUAUGCCGUGCCACCAUCUCUUCAUGACAUGACCUAUGGCUUUGAUGAACCAUUAGCAUUUGUUUCAGUAGCCAUGUUCACGUGGCUACUGACUGCAGAUGUAUGAACAGUAUGUAGACUGAUUUUUCUUUUAAUUCUUUCUAUCCUCACUCUACCUUAUACUGGUUUAUUAAUGUGUCUUCAUUAACUGGGAGAUAACCUGAAGACCAUGUCUGGGGUUUGGAGCAGACAGCUGGAUUCACCUUAGUUGUGAGGGGCUGUGUGUGUGUGUAUGUGUGUGUGUUGACAGCUGGCCAGGUUCAGGUUGGUCUAAAACCAUGUGCACCCUGUCAGGCCAGCAACACUAGCUCCUUUAGGAUUGAUGAAUUGCCUGCUUCCUCGAUUAAACCUGCCGUCACUUCUCGAUAAAAGCGACCAAAAAAGAAAACCAACAUGAAAAGCCCAGCCUAGGGAAGGAACAUCAGUGUGAGUCUAUCAUAGUGGAAGGCACAAACACGUUGACAUUUAUUACCAGAAUAUUAAAAACUAAUUCACAUUGAUUUUGCAAGCUUCACUCUCUUUACAGGCUUGGCUCAUUUCAGGAAGAUGGGUUUUGCACUAUAUCUAUAACCUCUACUUUUUUUUGUUUGUGUUCUCUGGUCACAUGGCUCUGGACAGGCUUACCUGCCAACCGUUUUGUAGGGAAUGUUGAUGGAUAUAUCUAUUAAUUUUUUUUUUUUUUUUUUUUGCAUUGUUUAGCACUUUGCUCACAUAGAAUAUAUAUAUUAUGAGAUUAAAUUUUAACAUGUUGCAUUGUA